rnacentral:lncRNA from 1 species
GAUGGGCCUGCUGUUUGGUGACCUAGGACUCACUCCUACUCCCCUUCCCAGGUGGCUGCAGGACUUGCAUUUAAUUUCCUUCUCCAGACAGCUGCAGGGUGUACCCCUCAUUCCCUUCCCCUGAUAGGUGUAGAACAUACCACUCAUUCCCCUUCCCUAAUGGGGUCACAAUGUGCCCAUCAUUCCCUUUUCCUGAUGGGUGUGAGACAUACCGGUCAGUCCCUUCUCCCGAUGGCUGCAGGAUGGGGCCAUUGUUCGCUUCCCCUAGUGGAGGCAGGACAUGCUACUCAUUCCCUUGCCUCAAUGGGUGCAGGUUGUGCCCACCAUUCCCUUCCCCUGAUUGGUGCAGGACAUGCCCAUCAGUUCCUUCUCAUGAUGGAUGCAGGACAUGUCCAUUAUUCCUUUCCCCUGAUGGCUGCAGGAUGUACCCAUCAUUCCCUUCCCCUAGUGGGAGCAGGACAUGCCACUGAUUCUCUUCCCUUAAUGGGUGCAGGACAUGCCCCCUCAUUUCUGUGCCCCAAUGGCUGCAGGAUGUACCCCUCAUUGCUGUGGGGCAUGCCCUUCAUUCCCUUUCCCAGAUGGCUUCAGGAUGUGACCUUCAUUCCCUUCUCUGAUGGCUGCACGAUAUACUCAUUCCCAUCCCAAGUUGGUUGCAGGACAUGCUUCUUAUUCUUUUUCCCAGAUGGCUGCAGGACAUAUCCUAUCCCUUUCCCCCAGAUGGCUGCCAGAUGUGCCCCUCAUUCUUUUACCCAGAUAGCUGCAGUACAUGCCCCUCAUUUCCAUCCCCUGAUGACUGUGAGACAUGCCCCUCAUUUCCUUCUCCUGGCGGCUGUGGGACAUGCCCCUCAUUUCCAUCCCCAGAUGGCUGUGGAACAUAUCCCUCAUUUCUUUUCCCUGAUGGCUGCGGGACAUGCUUCUCAUUUCCUUCCCCUGAUGGCUGCAGAACAUGUCCCUCAUUUCUUUCCUCUGACAGCUGGAAGACAUGCCCUUCAUUUCCUUCCCCUGAUGGCUGCAGUACAUGUCCCUCCUUUCCUUCCCCUGAUGGCUGCAGUACAUGUUCCUCAUUUCCUUUCCCUGAUGGCUGCGGGACAUGUCCUUCAUUUUCA